ACCACAGCAAUGGCCUCAUUCCGGUUGAGAAAGGCGACAUUGACACCUUGGGUGUCACCCAUCAGCUCACUGCUAAGAUCAUCUCUCACUUGGGUUUUAUUUGUCUAUGCGCCAGUCUCCUCCCUCCCUCCCUUCCUCUCUCUCUCUCUCUCUUUCUCUCUCUGCCUCUUUCUCCCCUCUCCACCAAGAAGGAACAGCUUGGAAUGUUCUGCAGUUCAAACAUUAAGAAAUUAAAAGACAGCUGCACCCCUCUGAUUUGAUGGCUCAGAAAGCAGCCAUGCAUGUGUGUCGCGAUAUACCAGGGUAUGUAUGUGGUGUGGUCUUUUCUAUUCUAUGAAAUCCAAAGUGCUUUCUGAAUUCGUACAUCAUAACCUUGUAAGGCUUUCCAGAAGUCCUUUGCAGAUGAGGGUGUUUGAGUCAUCUUUCAAAAGAUAUGAUUGUCCUUGUUCAUACGCAACCCUCACAGCUCCAAAAGGGAGAAAUAGAAUAAUGGAAGGGGGAGGGAAUAUUGACUUUGGAAGCCUCUUUUCCUUUGCAUUUCCCCCUCCCUUUUCUUCCACAGAUGGAUCUUUGCCUCCAAACAAGUCACUUUUUGAAAGAAAAUGGCACUGGAUAAGAUCUGGGUUUCGAUGCUGCUUGUUUUUUUGAGGCGCCUGUUCAUUGGGGAUCUUUUCAGAAUUGCUAGCUGAGCCUAAAGGGGGAUAUAUUUUAAUGCCACUGCUGGGGAAAUCAGUCAAUUAAGCCAUUGUAGCAUGCAUCAAAUUAUCCGCAUGACUGGAGAUGGAGUAACCAUCUUGAUAGGCUUUCUAAAGACAGGACCGCAGCCCUACCCAUAUUCAAUCUAUGCAGAUCUACAGUAUGCGAAAGGCUAAUCCUCAGGGGGGUUUUAUGGGGGGGUUUUUCCAGAGCAGGAAAAAAAAGGGGGAAAAAACCCCACCUUGGUAUUGAGAGGACAUUCAUUAAAUUUAUAGCUGCAAUCUCAAAUCAGGGAUGCCGCUUAGCAGAAUUGUGGGUUCACAAAUGCAGUGGGAGGGGGGGGUUUCACCACAAUGUAGACCCAGUAAAAAGAUGCAUGUUUUAUUCCUUAUACUCCUCCUCCCCCCAGUUAGACUGCAGUAU